CAAAUCAGAUCAGAUCGCAGCUCCACGCCGUCUCCGUCCAUAGCAGCUUCAUCCCUCUGCUCCGAUCCACCGCUUCGAUCGUCUCACCGCACACCACCAUCUAUUCUGUUGUCGCACACCACCACAUUCGACACCCCACCACAGCCUCGUCGUUUCGGAACAGCGUGCCGUCGAUCUGCAGCCGCCAACGCCGUCUCCAACGCAUACCCUUCCGAUCUUCGUCGUUCCCUCAUCCACCGUCACUGCCUCCGCCCUAGCCACCGCCAUCCAUAGCUACGCGGCUCAGCCUUUAAUCUAGUUAGUGUUAGUGAAGUGGAAGCAUUAUUUGAGCUGUUCAAGAAGUAUUAGCAGUUCAGUGAUUGAUGAUGGGCUGAUAAACAAGUUUCAUAUAGGCUUUAUGAUUUGGAUGGCAUAGGGUUCCUUGAGUGCCAAGAGGUUCAAUCCACGAUCUUUCCCCAAAAAUGACUCACUGAAGCAACAGACAUACACAAGAGACAAAGGAAUGUCGUGCAACAGCCAGCGAGUUCAGGUUCAUCCUCUGAUAUGGAUCAGCAUUAUGCAAUGUUCUUUUCUUUGAAUAAUUGAAUUAAUUCUUUCGCUAGAAGUUUUUGUUGAUAAAUGCUAGCUGGCUUAGUUUAUGUAGCUGCUUGAUUUCUUGAUAGAUGAUAUAGAUUUCUAAUUAUUUGAACUCAUGAAGCAAUCAAUAUACAGUUUUUAGUGCACAUAUGAGGGACUUGUAAUGUUCUGGCCGGAAGGAAGUACGCAGUGCUGUUUGAAUUGAAGUCACAUUGAUGUGAAGAGAGAGGUGUUUCGGCUCAUGUUUAGGGUUUCUAUGAAUGAUGCAAGAAUUCCAAUUUCCAAAUGAUGCUAUCAUUUAUUUAUUGUCUCCUCUUGUUUGAUUUGCCUGAUUUGACAUGUAAAAAAUAUGGUUUCUAAUGCCAAGGGUGGUGGUACCUUAAAUAUCUCAGGAACUUCUUCAAGCAGUAGUUCUUCCAUAAGCAAUUCUUUGCCUUCUAUGUUUCCUGCUGGAAGUGCACCUCCACUUUCACCAAGGAGUUCAUCAGGUUCACCUAGAAUCAUGAAGCAGAGGGGCAGGGCCUUCUCAAUUAGGUUCUCCUUUAAAAUUAGUGAAUCAACCAGUUAAAGAGCUGAUACCACAGGUUUGGAAUUGUCUUGUGAUUCAUUAGCUCUUUGGAGCUGCUGUUGUUGUUGUUUUUAUUUUUAUUUUUAUUUUUAUUUAUUUUUUGCUAAAAUGAUAAAUACUGCUUGUGGUGGCUAUCAGAUCGAGUGUCAUUAUUUAUUUAUUUUUAUUUGGUAGUUAUGCUGGAA